rnacentral:lncRNA from 1 species
GCAGUAAUUUGGCUAUACUUGCACGUGACAUGGUAGUGAGUUUGGUAGAGACUAGGCAUUCACAAAAUGGCCACUGCAUCAUCAGCAGAUGCAGAGCACGAUCGGAGAGUGGCUAUACUCGAGUCUCUUUGCGCCGGAAAAUCGCCGCAGGAAAUAAUCAAGUGGUUUGGUUACAAGAAGACACAGGUUUAUGACCUAGCAAAGAAACUCAGGGAAUCUGAGAUGGAGGAAGUCAUUCCUGACCGGGUCAAACAUCGAAAGCGGUCUGACUGUAAAGGCAGUUUCACAUAGCCAGCGAUUUGCAAGAAACGAGAAGAAACAUGCGAUUAUCGUCAUUAUUUUGUCGCAGAUGCUAUCACUAUGUUAUUGCG